rnacentral:rRNA from 1 species
GCGGCUGUGGCCUGGCUCCAUUUGCAUGGACCAUUAAUUGGCAAAGCCAAUCGAGGGUGCCGGGACCGGUCAAGGAACAAAGUCCCCAUUCCCUUUCGCCAGACAUAGAACCAGACGCAGGGGGCUCAUGCAGGAGCAGUAAACUCACGCUCACCCAAACUCUCCUCUUUUUUCUCUCGUGUU